UUAAAGAGUUCUAUAACUCCCAAACCCAUGUGAACAUACCUAACGUUGCCUCGGCAGGUCGCACCUACCUUGUAGCACCCUACCCUGUAGGGCCUACCCGGGAGGUGCGGGUAAGCCUGCCGGCGGCCCACCAAACUCUGUUUGAUAUUGAAUUCUGAACCUAUAACUAAAUAAGUUAAAACUUUCAACAACGGAUCUCUUGGUUCUGGCAUCGAUGAAGAACGCAGCGAAAUGCGAUAAGUAAUGUGAAUUGCAGAAUUCAGUGAAUCAUCGAAUCUUUGAACGCAUAUUGCGCCCAUUAGUAUUCUAGUGGGCAGGACCGUUCGAGCGUCAUUUCAACCCUUAAGCCUUCGUUGCUUAGUGUUGGGAGCCUACGGCAACGUAGCUCCUCAAAGUUAGUGGCGGAGUUAGUUCACACUCUAGACGUAGUAAUUUUUUAUCUCGCCUAUUAGUUGGACUAAUCCCCUGCCGUAAAACCCCCAAUUUAUCAAGGUUGACCUCGAAUCGGUUCAGACAAACUCGCUAAAUUGAAGCAUCUUAGUCAGCGAAGGAAAAGAAACCAACAGGGAUUGCCCUAGUAACGGCGAGUGAAGCGGCAACAGCUCAAAUUUGAAAUCUGGCCCUCGGGUCCGAGUUGUAAUUUGUAGAGGAUGCUUUUGGCGCGGUGCCUUCCGAGUUCCCUGGAACGGGACGCCUUAGAGGGUGAGAGCCCCGUACGGUUGGACACCAAGCCUCUGUAAAGCUCCUUCGACGAGUCGAGUAGCUUGGGAAUGCUGCUCUAAAUGGGAGGUAAAUUUCUUCUAAAGCUAAAUAUUGGCCAGAGACCGAUAGCGCACAAGUAGAGUGAUCGAAAGA
rnacentral:rRNA from 1 species